rnacentral:tRNA from 6 species
GAGGAUUAGCUCAGCUGGGAGAGCAUCUGCCUUACAAGCAGGAGGUCACAGGUUCGAUCCCUGUAUCCUCC